rnacentral:lncRNA from 1 species
GAGAAUAAAGGGCAACAUGACAUUAGCUGAAGGUAAAAACAAAGGCCAGUGUGGUGAAAACAGGACAUUCACUUCUAAUGGCUGUACUGUCACUCAGGGCGUAUCUGGUGGUGGAGAAACCUGGCCACUUGUUUGGGGAGAGGUGUGGUUGCGGUGAGUCACUAUGCCGGAAAAAUAGCACAAUGAAGCCAGGUGCUUCUGUUACAGGCUGCCCGGCAUCUUAAGGCUUAAAGUCCAAAGUCUAGUGUCUUAUUUGGGGAGUGUAUGGAUGCUAAAAGCUCCUGAGUACGGAUGGAGAGAGCAACUUGUUUUUUCAAGACCUAGGAAAGGCGACUUCCACGUCUCAUGGGAGCUUGUCCACAUUUCCCUGAGAAGAGUUAUUCUCCCUCUGUUGUGGUUGUGUUAGCACUUUGCCCCCUUCACCUGAUACCCACCUGUUAAGAAAUACCACCUUCCUUAACGAAAACCCAGAAGCUCUACUGUUGGCCCUGGAAGGAUGUCCCAUGGGGGUCUUGACUGAUUACUGCUGCCACCAAGAUAGGCUGAAAAGGCAGCUGGGAAAGGCCAGCUGUGAGAAACUGAUGUGGAAGUCUAGAGAAUAACAGAAUCUAAUGGCCCUAGAUUUUGCUGCUUCUAUACGCUUAAUGUGCUUAAGAUCAUCUCACAGGAUUGGACCUGCGGAUGGGGUAGAAUGUGGCCUGUGUUUCUGAUUUAGGUAGCCCUGGGACCCCACUUUGAGAAGCUCAGCCCUGGAGAGAUCCUCGGCUUUAAGAGGCACACUUGGCCAUCCAAGCUCUCGCGCCCACACCAUCUGAUGCCAGAAAGAAGUGCUCUUACCUGGAUUCCUUCUUCUCAGCUCUCAGCCGACUGGCACUGAGGGAUGCUGUAAUUGAUAUGCUCUUCCCCACAGAACACCAGACGAUGGCACAAGGGCCUGAAGCCUCUCUCGAAUCUACCCAAGGUGUGCCCUUCGGCUUCUGUAUCUUCUCUGAGGGCCGGUGCCCCUCCGGCAUAGGGCUCACCAUUUCAGUCAACAGAGAGACCCCCCCAGAACCUCCUGCACCUCUCAGUUCACGGCUCCUUGUUGGAGGUCUUUCCCUUCUAUAGACAGAGAGCCUAGAACUGAAGAAAUCCUGACCAAACUCUAGAAGCACCUUGCUGUGGGUAACUUGGUUUGCAGUCAGACCUCGGCCCAGGCCCGCCGUCCUCCUGCGCACUGGCUGCAGAACUGCCUUAGUACCACGGCCCCACCUGGAAGUCGGCGCAGCUGUUCGGAGUAGUGUCCAGUACCAGCUGAUGAUGCUUUUAAAAGACUGAAUCGGGAUACUUCUUUUUUUUUCUUUGUCUUUUUAGGGUCACACCCACAGCAUACGGAGGUUCCCAGGCUAGGGGUCUAAUCAGAGCUACAGUCACCAGCCAGAGCCACAGCAAUGUGGGAUCCGAGCCGAGUCUGCAACCUAUACCACAGCUCAUGGCAAAGCCAGAUCCUUAACCCAUUGAGCGAGGCCAGGGAUCGAACCUGCAUCAUCAUGGAUGCUAGUCAGAUUUGUUCCUGCUGAGCCACGACGGGAACUCCCAUAAAUAAUUACUCUUAACCAGCAGACAGAGCAUUGCUAAUAACGUCCCUCUAUGAACCAUAAUAUGAUUUUUAUGUUGAUUUGAGGUUGUCGUUUGGCUACUUGCCACCAAAUACUAAAAAUGCUUCAGAGACUGCUGUCCAUCUCCCCUUCUCAGACAUUAGCAAAUGUGCCCCCAACUCCUCAAGGAGCCCCCUAGGGGCUCUGAGGACCCUGGAGAACUGAGUGAUCUCCUACAGCAAAUUCCACUCUGGAGACUUGCUAAACAAGAAAGUCUUCCAAACUGGGCUGGAGCAGAGUAAACCUGAACAGCAGUACGAUGACAGCACAGCUCCUAUUCCUCAGCAUAGAAGGGUACCUGUGCAUGUUUUCUAGACUGUCCAUUCACCUCUGUCGACCUCAUCUCUCAGCACACUAGUGUUGCCUUUGAAACAAAAAUGAUGGCCCUUCUCCCAACCAAUUAAAUCUGACUCCCGGGGAUGGGCUCUGGCAUAGGUAGCCUGUAAAGCUCUCAGGUGAUUCCGAUGUGCAGCCAGGCCUGAGAGACACUGCUCUGGCAUGAGGCGCUUGGCUCCCGGUAAAAUGCAUCUUCUUUGCUUGCCCUACCAGCACUUAAGGCCAAUCUUGGACAUUUAUACCCCAGAGCAAAUAAUUUCAGAAAAGGAGACUUGACAAGAGAGAGAGGAGAAAAAGAGAGCGACACAGUGUGAGGGCUGCAGGUUUGACAAUACACAUAAGCCUCCCAGUUUUUCCCACCUUUUGACCAUUUAGCUCUUCUUGGUGUAGGGUGGGGAAGGGCAGGGAAGGACUGUGACCUUCUGGGGAUGAAGGGAGCCUCUGACCCACAGGUGGCAGUUGAACUCUGGGCUGCAUCUGACAUUUUGCUUGGCCUGCAGAGUGGCUACACGUGGCAAUUAAAAAAAA